rnacentral:ncRNA from 1 species
CUGUGGUGGAUUCCCGGUUGAUAUUCCGGAACCGAGUAACGGAGACAAAGAGUAGCGCUUUAAUCUCUCUGUGGGGUUGGCGUUCAACUCAAUCGCGCGGUAACGCAAGCGAACUCGGAAAAUGACCGUCGUGAGUUUCGAAAAGAGUUUUCUUUUCUUUUUAAGGGACGCAUUCCCUGGAACCGGGUUGUCCGGAGAUAGGGAUUCUGGUAUCCAUAAAACGCCGACUUUUUCACGGUGUUCGGAGCGCUCUCGUCGGUACGUGAAAAUCCGAGCGACGCCUGGUAAAUCUCGUACUUGGUCGUACUGAUAUCCGCAGCAGGUCUCCAAGGUGAAUAGCCUCUGGCCGAUAGAAUAAUGUAGGUAAGGGAAGUCGGCAAAACGGAUCCGUAACUUCGGAACAAGGAUUGGCUCUAAGGGCUGGGCCGAUCGGGCUGAGGUUUCAAGCGUGCAGUGUAUGCUUGGCUUAGUUGUGUUGAGGACUUGUUCACUUGCCACCGGUUGUUCGGCUGGUCGAGUGUAUUCGAGUCUGAAGCAGAGCUGGCCGACAGACCGGCACGUGCAGAACCUGAGCUGCGCGGCUGUCCGUUUUCGUGUACAGACCGUUUCGGUCGGCAUUCAACAGCCAACUUAGAACUGGCACGGACACAAGGAAUCUGACUGUAUAAUUAAAACAAAGCAUUGCGAUGGCCGAUGAUCGGUGAUGACGCAACUGUGAUUUCUGCCCAGUGCUCUGAAUG